UCUUUGCUGUUUUCAAAUCAGCCAGAAACAACCCAGUUAUCUCCAGCUGAGAACUCAGAGAGGAGUUUUCAAGCAUCUUUUACCACCUCUGUGGACUCUGUCCAAAAAGAUUGAUCCCCAAAAAAUCUGAUGGUUUUGACUUCAAGGCAAGUCAGCACUCAUAGAGAAAACACUCUAACUUCUGUAUGGAUGACAUGGACUGGGACCUAUGGAAUGGCAUCAUCUCUCUUUGCCCCAAACUGAGUUGAAUCCAAUAUCCAUUUCCUGAAUUGACUCACAAAUGCAGCAGAAGUUUUUGAAGCACUUCUUGUGCAAAUCUCAGCCAUGAAAGAGAAGCAGUCACCUCUCAGGGUCCUGAACCACCUCAAGGAAAAUGGCAACGUCAACGUUUACAGGAGAUGGAAGAAGGAAAAAAUAACUGCCUUCAGUUAUUCUGCAGGGACUGAAGACGAGUAAGCUUGGAAUUUUACAUAGCAGUGACAUGAGAAGGGUGCAGGAAGCAUGAAGAUUUCAUUUAUUGAAUACGAAAAUAUGAAUGAUUGUUAUAAAUCAUAAGUUUACUGCAGUUAUCACUUGAGUGGAGCUCACUUUUGACAAGGUUCAGUGAGAGGAGCAGGGGAACAAUUGUUUGCCUUUUGGGUUUUUUCCCAUUCAUAGGAGAAAAAUAUGCAAAUUAGAGCCCUGUCAAACGCAGGAGAUACAUCUCAUGCAAGGUCUUGUAAUAUGGCUUUGUUCCAAACUAGAACAAAACUCCAACAUUUCCAAAUGUUCAAUGAAGAAAAUUGUCAGAGAAAAACAAUCUAACCUAUGUUCACAGAAUUAUUUCACUUUGUCAAAACUGGUGCUCUGUUUUCACUUUGAAUACUUCAUAUUUUUUAUAUAACGCAUCUAACCUGAUGCUAAAUAAAAUACCUCAUGCAAAACUUUCAAGUCUAACAACACUGGAAAAUGGCAGCAUCCAGGAAUGGCACUUUGAAAGAACAGUUACCAAAAUCUUCACAGAUGUCUACUGAGAUUUUUGAGAAGUGAAUUUCAGUCAUUUAUUGGUUUGUAAUUGCUCAUUCAAAUGAGUAAUGUUGAGCAAGUCAUCCACUAUGAAACACCAAGAAGCAGGGAGGCCACCUGAUGUACACCCACCCCUGCCCAGUAAUUCCAUCUCAGUAUGAUCCCAGCAGUGCCUAAGGAAACCCAAGAAGAUGUGAGGAAGGGUCAUCACAGUGUGAGCUGUGUGCCUCUAACCAAAUGCCAUCAGCCACUGCUCCAAGUCCCAAACAUUUUCAGAUGAACAGUCCUGGCAGACAAUGUUAAUGAGUUUCCUUCAUGAUUUGAGUCAGGAUGGACUGCAGGCUGGGUUUCCAUAAUCUUGGAAGAUGCUCCUGUCAAUUAGCUUUGAUUUGGAACCAGCAAGACCAAGGUCAGCAGAUGUGCCCAGCCCACACCAGGUGGGGUUCUACAUGUCCUAGAAUGGCCAUUGGCUAUAAUGGAAUAUUUAAGGCUGCAUUAUCCUUUCUGCAAUUAUUUCCAGUAACUACCUAGCAUGUAACCUGGGUGUGGAAAUGGGAAUACAUGUUUUGAAACAACUGAAGCCAACCCUGGGAAAAGGGCUGUGCAGCUCUUUCUCAGCUGCCACAAUGUUGAUCCUGUGGGGCUUGUUUGGUUUUGUUUGUUUAGUAAUCAAGCAGGGACCUUUUUAGUCCCCGUGUAAUCACUGGGGCAUAACUUGCUCACAUGUGGUCAUGACACAGCUCCCUCACAAUCCCUCCCUACUGAGUACCUGAGGUGUGACCACAGCACAGCCUUGGGGGGCAUUGUUCAUCCCUUGUUCCACGCUGCACUUACAGCUUGAUCAGUGCAGUUUAAUCACUGAUAUAUAACUGUGUCAGAGCUCAAACCACCACAUUUCUCACAGUAACCUGGUGGUACAGAGUAGACCUCUGAAAUGCAAAGCGUUGGGUUGGAGAGUUGUUUGACUCCUGCCAUUCAUUUCUUUCCUCACAGAGCAUUGAUGCACUGAAAUUCCCAUCACAAGGAGCUAUCAUUAACUAGUGCACAUUUAUUUGCUUAAGGAGUCUAAUAAUCACUCAUCAAAUUUCUGCACUUGUUUUCUGGCAUUGUAUUUCAUCACUUGGUAGAGUAUGAAACAUUAUCAUUCUUUACACAAGUUUGUUAACGGAAUAUUUAU